rnacentral:rRNA from 1 species
GCAAGUCGAACGCAUUUAGUUGCGUGGCGAACGAGGUAGUAACACGUAGGACUACAAACCCCAAAGUCAGGGAUAACCUGGAGAAAUCCAGAAUAAUACCUGAUAGUAUCGCGAGAUUAAAGAUUUAUCGCUUUGGGAUUGGCCUGCGGAGUAUCAGCUUGUUGGUAGUGUAAUGGACUACCAAGGCUAUGACGCUUAGGGGAGGUGAGAGCCUGGCC